rnacentral:lncRNA from 1 species
AUGGAGUUCCCGUUCGACGUGGCGGCCGUGCUGGGCGAGCGCGUCUCCGUGGUGGACCAGCACCUGCGGCCCAACGGGCGCCGAGGGCCCGCCCACCGGUACCGAGCCGCGGGCCUAAGCCUCAGGCUCGGGCCUGGGCUAGGCCUGCCCCGGUGCAUGCUGGGAAAAAAAAAGGGGGGGGGGGGGGGAGGGGGGGGGGGGGGGGCGCGGGGCAUGCUGGGAAGGGUGGGGCGAGCCCCGGUGCAUUGUGGGAUGGGUGGAGGCCAACUGGGCUCAUCCCAGUAUCAUCCCAGUACAUACUGGGAAGGAUGGAGGCCCCAUUACCCCUCCCCAGUACAUACUGGGAAUAAUGGAGGCCCCAUUACCCCUCCCCAGUACAUACUGGGAAUAAUGGAAGCCCAUUGACCUCAUCCUAGUCCAUACUGGGAAAGAUGGAGGCCAACUGGCCUCAUCCCAGUAUCAUCCCAGUACAUACUGGGAAGGAUGAAGG